rnacentral:rRNA from 1 species
UAAUACCGGAUAGAUCAAAGAUACUGGAAUGUUCCUUGAUCCAAAGCUCCGGCGUCCAAGGAUGGAUCUGCGGCCUAUCAGGUAGUAGUGGGUGUAACGUACCUACUAGCCUACGACGGGUACGGGUUGUGAGAGCAAGAGCCCGGAGAUGGAUUCUGAGACAUGAAUCCAGGCCCUACGGGGCGCAGCAGGCGCGAAAUCUUUACAAUGCAGGAAACUGCGAUAAGGGGACCCCGAGUGCCAGCAUCUAAUGCUGGCUGUCCAGCUGUCCAAAUAACAGUUGUUAGCAAGGGCCGGGCAAGACCGGUGCCAGCCGCCGCGGUAACACCGGCGGCCCGAGUGGUAGCCGUUAUUAUUGGGUUUAAAGGGUCCGUAGCCGGCCUGUUAAGUCUCUUGGGAAAUCUGGCGGCUCAAUCGUCAGGCGUCC